rnacentral:rRNA from 1 species
UACGUAGGGGGCGAGCGUUGUCCGGAAUGACUGGGCGUAAAGGGCGCGUAGGCGGAGUGCUUUGUCGGGCGUGAAAUUCCAGGGCUCAACCUUGGGGCUGCGUUCGAGACGGGCAUUCUAGAGUGGAGAAGAGGGUCGUGGAAUUCCCAGUGUAGAGGUGAAAUUCGUAGAUAUUGGGAAGAACACCGGUGGCGAAGGCGGCGACCUGGUCUUUUACUGACGCUGAGGCGCGAAAGUGUGGGGAGCAAACAGG